rnacentral:rRNA from 1 species
CCUACGGGAGGCAGCAGUGGGGGAUAUUGCACAAUGGGGGAAACCCUGAUGCAGCGACGCCGCGUGGGUGAAGAAGCGCCUCGGCGCGUAAAGCCCUGUCAGCAGGGAAGAAAAUGACGGUACCUGAAGAAGAAGCCCCGGCUAACUACGUGCCAGCAGCCGCGGUAAUACGUAGGGGGCAAGCGUUAUCCGGAUUUACUGGGGGUAAAGGGGGCGGAGACGGCGAUGCAAGCCAGGAGUGAAAGCCCGGGGCCCAACCCCGGGACUGCUCUUGGAACUGCGUGGCUAGAGUGCAGGGGGGGCAGGCGGAAUUCCUGGUGUAGCGGUGAAAUGCGUAGAUAUCAGGAGGAACACCGGUGGCGAAGGCGGCCUGCUGGACUGCAACUGACGUUGAGGCCCGAAAGCGUGGGGAGCAAACAGGAUUAGAUACCCCAGUAGUC